GUGAAUCAUCGAAUCUUUGAACGCAAAUUGCACUCUCCGGUUUUCCGGGAGAGUAUGCCUGUUUGAGGGUCAGCCUAAAAAAAAUCGACAUUGUUGCUGUUAUUUAAUGGUGACUUUCGUCGGAGAUUGGGUUAUCUUAAACCUUUUUUUUUUUGUUUUAAGCACCUUAAAUUUUUUUUUAACUUUUCAUUUAACUUUUCUAAAUUUUUUAUUUUUUAUACUUUUA
rnacentral:misc_RNA from 1 species